GGGUUGUGAGGUUAAGCGACUAAGCGUACACGGUGGAUGCCCUGGCAGUCAGAGGCGAUGAAGGACGUGCUAAUCUGCGAAAAGCGUCGGUAAGGUGAUAUGAACCGUUAUAGCCGGCGAUGUCCGAAUGGGGAAACCCAGUGCAAUUCGUUGCACUAUCGUUUGAUGAAUACAUAGUCAAACGAGGCGAACCGGGGGAACUGAAACAUCUAAGUACCCCGAGGAAAAGAAAUCAACCGAGAUUCCCCCAGUAGCGGCGAGCGAACGGGGAGCAGCCCGGAGUCUGAAUCAGCUUGUGUGUUAGUGGAAGCGUCUGGAAAGUCGCAGGGUACAGGGUGAUACUCCCGUACACUAAAACACACAGGCUGUGAACUCGAAGAGUAGGGCGGGACACGUGGUAUCCUGUCUGAAUAUGGGGGGACCAUCCUCCAAGGCUAAAUACUCCUGACUGACCGAUAGUGAACCAGUACCGUGAGGGAAAGGCGAAAAGAACCCCGGCGAGGGGAGUGAAAAAGAACCUGAAACCGUGUACGUACAAGCAGUAGGAGCCUCUUUAUGGGGUGACUGCGUACCUUUUGUAUAAUGGGUCAGCGACUUAUAUUCUGUAGCAAGGUUAACCGUAUAGGGGAGCCGCAGGGAAACCGAGUCUUAACUGGGCGUUAAGUUGCAGGGUAUAGACCCGAAACCCGGUGAUCUAGCCAUGGGCAGGUUGAAGGUUGGGUAACACUAACUGGAGGACCGAACCGACUAAUGUUGAAAAAUUAGCGGAUGACUUGUGGCUGGGGGUGAAAGGCCAAUCAAACCGGGAGAUAGCUGGUUCUCCCCGAAAGCUAUUUAGGUAGCGCCUCGUGAACUCAUCUUCGGGGGUAGAGCACUGUUUCGGCUAGGGGGUCAUCCCGACUUACCAACCCGAUGCAAACUACGAAUACCGAAGAAUGUUAUCACGGGAGACACACGGCGGGUGCUAACGUCCGUCGUGAAGAGGGAAACAACCCAGACCGCCAGCUAAGGUCCCAAAGUCAUGGUUAAGUGGGAAACGAUGUGGGAAGGCCCAGACAGCCAGGAUGUUGGCUUAGAAGCAGCCAUCAUUUAAAGAAAGCGUAAUAGCUCACUGGUCGAGUCGGCCUGCGCGGAAGAUGUAACGGGGCUAAACCAUGCACCGAAGCUGCGGCAGCGACACUAUGUGUUGUUGGGUAGGGGAGCGUUCUGUAAGCCGUUGAAGGUGGCCUGUGAGGGUUGCUGGAGGUAUCAGAAGUGCGAAUGCUGACAUAAGUAACGAUAAUGCGGGUGAAAAACCCGCACGCCGGAAGACCAAGGGUUCCUGUCCAACGUUAAUCGGGGCAGGGUGAGUCGACCCCUAAGGCGAGGCCGAAAGGCGUAGUCGAUGGGAAACAGGUUAAUAUUCCUGUACUCGGUGUUACUGCGAAGGGGGGACGGAGAAGGCUAUGUUGGCCGGGCGACGGUUGUCCCGGUUUAAGCAUGUAGGCGGAUGUUCCAGGUAAAUCCGGAACGUUACUAACGCUGAGGUGUGAUGACGAGGCACUACGGUGCUGAAGUGACAAAUGCCCUGCUUCCAGGAAAAGCCUCUAAGCAUCAGGUAACAUCAAAUCGUACCCCAAACCGACACAGGUGGUCAGGUAGAGAAUACCAAGGCGCUUGAGAGAACUCGGGUGAAGGAACUAGGCAAAAUGGUGCCGUAACUUCGGGAGAAGGCACGCUGAUAUGUAGGUGAAGUGGUUUACCCAUGGAGCUGAAAUCAGUCGAAGAUACCAGCUGGCUGCAACUGUUUAUUAAAAACACAGCACUGUGCAAACACGAAAGUGGACGUAUACGGUGUGACGCCUGCCCGGUGCCGGAAGGUUAAUUGAUGGGGUUAUCCGUAAGGAGAAGCUCUUGAUCGAAGCCCCGGUAAACGGCGGCCGUAACUAUAACGGUCCUAAGGUAGCGAAAUUCCUUGUCGGGUAAGUUCCGACCUGCACGAAUGGCGUAAUGAUGGCCAGGCUGUCUCCACCCGAGACUCAGUGAAAUUGAACUCGCUGUGAAGAUGCAGUGUACCCGCGGCAAGACGGAAAGACCCCGUGAACCUUUACUAUAGCUUGACACUGAACACUGGUCCUUGAUGUGUAGGAUAGGUGGGAGGCUUUGAAGCGUGGACGCCAGUCUGCGUGGAGCCAUCCUUGAAAUACCACCCUUUAAUGGCUGGUGUUCUAACGUGGGCCCGUUAUCCGGGUUGCGGACAGUGUCUGGUGGGUAGUUUGACUGGGGCGGUCUCCUCCUAAAGAGUAACGGAGGAGCACGAAGGUCAGCUAAUCCUGGUCGGACAUCAGGAGGUUAGUGCAAUGGCAUAAGCUGGCUUGACUGCGAGCGUGACGGCGCGAGCAGGUGCGAAAGCAGGUCAUAGUGAUCCGGUGGUUCUGAAUGGAAGGGCCAUCGCUCAACGGAUAAAAGGUACUCCGGGGAUAACAGGCUGAUACCGCCCAAGAGUUCAUAUCGACGGCGGUGUUUGGCACCUCGAUGUCGGCUCAUCACAUCCUGGGGCUGAAGUAGGUCCCAAGGGUAUGGCUGUUCGCCAUUUAAAGUGGUACGCGAGCUGGGUUUAGAACGUCGUGAGACAGUUCGGUCCCUAUCUGCCGUGGGCGCUGGAGAAUUGAGGGGGGCUGCUCCUAGUACGAGAGGACCGGAGUGGACGCAUCACUGGUGUUCGGGUUGUCAUGCCAAUGGCAUUGCCCGGUAGCUAAAUGCGGAAGAGAUAAGUGCUGAAAGCAUCUAAGCACGAAACUUGCCCCGAGAUGAGUUCUCCCUGACUCCUUGAGAGUCCUGAAGGAACGUUGAAGACGACGACGUUGAUAGGCCGGGUGUGUAAGCGCAGCGAUGCGUUGAGCUAACCGGUACUAAUGAACCGUGAGGCUUAACCUUACAACGCCGAAG
rnacentral:rRNA from 1 species